CCCUUAGAUGUUCUGGGCUGCACGCGCGCUACACUGAUGCGCUCAACGAGUUUUAACCUUGCCUGGAAAGGUUGGGUAAUCUUUUUAAAAUGCAUCGUGAUGGGGAUAGAUUAUUGCAAUUAUUAAUCUUCAACGAGGAAUUCCUAGUAAGCGCGAGUCAUCAGCUCGUGCCGAUUACGUCCCUGCCCUUUGUACACACCGCCCGUCGCUCCUACCGAUUGAGUGCUCAGGUGAAUAAUUCGGACUGCAGCAAUGUUUGGAUCCCGAACGUUGCAGCGGAAAGUUUAGUGAACCUUAUCACUUAGAGGAAGGAGAAGUCGUAACA
rnacentral:rRNA from 1 species